rnacentral:rRNA from 1 species
CAGUAGCCACGGUAAUACGAAGGGGGCUAGCGUUGCUCGGAAUUACUGGGCGUAAAGGGAGCGUAGGCGGGUCGUUUAGUCAGAGGUGAAAUCCCGGGGCUCAACCUCGGAACUGCCUUUGAUACUGGCGACCUUGAGUAUGGGAGAGGUGAGUGGAACUCCGAGUGUAGAGGUGAAAUUCGUAGAUAUUCGCAAGAACACCAGUGGCGAAGGCGGCUUACUGGCUCGAUACUGACGCUGAGGCGCGAAAGCGUGGGGAGCAAACAGGAUUAGAUACCCGAGUAGUCCCUGUCUCUUAUAA